rnacentral:rRNA from 1 species
GACAGAGGCCCCAAGCGUUAGGCGGAAUCACUGGGCUUAAAGCGUGUGUAGGCGGAUCGUUAAGUGUCUUGUGAAAUCCCACGGCUCACCCGUGGAACUGCUGGGCAUACUGGCGAUCUUGGGCCAACUAGGGGCAGUCGGAACAAGCGGUGGAGCGGUGAAAUGCGUAGAUAUCGCUUGGAACGCCAACGGUGAAAACAGGCUGCUGGGGGUGUGCUGACGCUGAGACACGAAAGCCAGGGGAGCGAACGGG